rnacentral:rRNA from 1 species
ACUCCUACGGGAGGCAGCAGUGAGGAAUAUUGGACAAUGGGCGGAAGCCUGAUCCAGCCAUGCCGCGUGCAGGAAGACGGCCCUAUGGUUGUAAACUGCUUUUGUACGGGAAGAACAAGGGCCACGUGUGGUCCGUUGACGGUACCGUAAGAAUAAGGACCGGCUAACUCCGUGCCAGCAGCCGCGGUAAUACGGAGGGGUCCGAGCGUUAUCCGGAAUUAUUGGGUUUAAAGGGUCCGUAGGCGGGCCGUUAAGUCAGGGGUGAAAUGCUGCGGCUCAACCGUAUCACUGCCUUUGAUACUGGCGGUCUUGAAUCAUUGUGAAGUGGUUGGAAUAUGUAGUGUAGCGGUGAAAUGCAUAGAUAUUACAUAGAACACCGAUUGCGAAGGCAGAUCACUAACAAUGUAUUGACGCUGAUGGACGAAAGCGUGGGUAGCGAACAGGAUUAGAUACCCUGGUAGACUGUCA